UUAUGCACUACUAGAGUUAGAUUGAUUUUUAAAAGGCAGACGCUUAACAAGCGCCAUCUUUUAAAACACGCUGAACAAAAAAAGGCCACUUCAUUUUUAAAAGAUGACGUCUUUUAAAACACGCUAAAAAAAGGCUGCUUAAAUAAAUCCGCGCUCGACAAAUUUUCAUAUUUUCCCCGUCUCUGAAAACCUUCUCUCCCUCCUUGAAACCCUCCUCAGCUCUCUGAAAUACCCUCAUGAAACUAUCUACAAAAUCAUCAGAAAAUCGAUAUCAAUGAAGGAGUUGAGAGAUUGAGGUCUUCGCAGAUCCACAAGAUAGAGAGGGAGGUUCUGUAUUUGAGAAUCAAAGCUGGUUGGAUGGUGAAGAUCUCGAUCUCCACGCUCUUUAACGAUGAUCUCCAACCCAGGCGUUCAACUCUCUCAUCAACCUCAGCGGCUUGGUCCGGUUAGCUCUCCAAUUUUGUUGUCGCCCUUGGCCCUCGCACUCCUCUGAAGGUCCAAGCCCUAUAAUUGUCCUAAUCUCCUGAUAAUUGUGAAGAUCGAAACCCUAGCCUCCUACCUUUCGAAAGUCACUCCGCCGGUCGUGCUGGGAAACCGAUUGUGAAAUGGACUGAGGUGCAAAGUUGGUUGCAGAAUAGAGCGCAAGAGUUGCCAAACAUAUCCAAAAUAUCUCUGAGCAAUAGUGAAUUCACCCUUCGAAUGAGGCACUCAGAAGUUCUGAAGUACCUAAAGGUGCUUCUCAUAACCUCUUGUUGCUUUUAUGUCUAGGCUAUAGUAAUAUGCAAGCUUGUAAGGCUUUUUGCAAACUGGUUAAAUAUGAUUAUUGUAUGGUGAGCUCAUUUAUUAUAGAUAAAAUAGAAAAAUAGUGAACCACAAGCAGACCGAGCUAGUUGAAGUUUUGAAUUGUAUUAUAUACACUAGUUUAUAAAUUUGUCAUUCUAUACCCGCCAGCCACUGAAUGUCAUAUCUAUUAAGUUAUUUCAGGUAAACUGUUUCUGUUUCACAUAAUAUCAUUCACAUAUCAUUUUAUUAUUUUACUAUUGUGCAUUUGAAAGUAGAAGAAAAUACCGGAAACAUAUCAGAGUUGGAAUUUGAGGCAAGGUGAUCAAAAAAUGGGGCAUGGUUAGUACACAAACAAAGGUGACUUUGUCAUUGGAUUUCUUGGUGGUCCUUUUAUGUUUAGGGUGACUUUGUCAAAAUUUGAAGGUUGGAGACCUUGUCCUCUGCUUCCAGGUAAUUCCCAAAGUUGUAGGUUGUUGUGGUAUACUAUAACCAACAUCAAUUUCAAGUUGAUAGUGUUCACGUUUUGGUGGUUUGAGUUUAUAUUUGUGUUGUAUUUGAAACAUUUAUUCCUUCUUAUUUUUGCCCUUUUAUGCUCAUAUUUUUUAUUUCAGUUCUCUACAUGGAGCACUUGGUGUUAUCUUGUCAGCUACGGAUACUGUUUGCACCCUUCAGGUGCUUAAACAAACUGUUCUAUAAACCACUCUGUCUCAAGCUUCAUUUGUAAAGAUUGAUGUUAAUUUUACAAGCCAAGAAGACACACGCUGUUGCUGAUACUGCCACAGGAGAGGGGAAUACAACAUGAAAAAUGUGCGAGAAGACAGAGCUAACUCACUUACUCAGGAACAAAUUGAUGUUAAUAUCGAAUUGGUAGAAUUUGUGAGCAAUCACAUGUAGCUUCAUUAUUUAGGUUAAUGUUAUCGAUGUGAUAGGAAGUAGGGGUGGCAUUUUAAACCGAAAAACCGAAAAAUCGCAAAAACCAACCGAUAUUUUACCGCAAUAAAACCGCAAUCGUGGUAAACCGAACCGCAAUCGCGGUAUUAAGAACCGAACCGCAUUUACGGUUGCGGUUGCGGUAUUUGAUUUUCAAAAUUUGCGGUUACCGCAAACCGCAAAGUAUAGCCGCAUGGCUAUACUCUAUGAAUA